rnacentral:rRNA from 1 species
AUUGAACGCUGGCGGCAUGCUUUACACAUGCAAGUCGAACGGUAACAGGCCGCAAGGUGCUGACGAGUGGCGAACGGGCGAGUAAUGCAUCGGAACGUGCCCAGUCGUGGGGGAUAACGUAGGGAAACUUACGCUAAUACCGCAUACGACCCACGGGUGGAAGCGGCGGACCGCAAGGCUUAGCGCGAUGGGAUGAGCCGAUGUCAGAUUAGCUAGGUGGCGGGGUAAAGGCCCACCAAGGCGACGAUCGGUAGCUGGUCUGAGAGGAUGAUCAGCCACACUGGAACUGAGACACGGUCCAGGCUACUACGGGAGGCAGCAGUGGGGACUAUUGGACAAUGGGCGCAAGCCUGAUCCAGCCAUGCCGCGUGUGUGAAGAAGGCCUUCGGGUUGUAAAGCACUUUUGUUGGGGAAGAAAAGGCGCCGGUUAAUACCCGGUGUUUCUGACGGUGCCCAAAGAAUAAGCACCGGCUAACUUCGUGCCAGCAGCCGCCGUAAGAC